UGAGGAAUAUUGGUCAAUGGGCGCAGGCCUGAACCAGCCAAGUAGCGUGAAGGAUGACUGCCCUAUGGGUUGUAAACUUCUUUUAUAAAGGAAUAAAGUCGGGUAUGUAUACCCGUUUGCAUGUACUUUAUAAAUAAGGAUCGGCUAACUCCGUGCCAGCAGCCGCGGUAAUACGGAGGAUCCGAGCGUUAUCCGGAUUUAUUGGGUUUAAAGGGAGCGUAGAUGGAUGUUUAAGUCAGUUGUGAAAGUUUGCGGCUCAACCGUAAAAUUGCAGUUGAUACUGGAUAUCUUGAGUGCAGUUGAGGCAGGCGGAAUUCGUGGUGUAGCGGUGAAAUGCUUAGAUAUCACGAAGAACUCCGAUUGCGAAGGCAGCCUGCUAAGCUGCAACUGACAUUGAGGCUCGAAAGUGUGGGUAUCAAACAGGAUUAGAUACCCUGGUAGUCCACACGGUAAACGAUGAAUACUCGCUGUUUGCGAUAUACUGCAAGCGGCCAAGCGAAAGCGUUAAGUAUUCCACCUGGGGAGUACGCCGGCAACGGUGAAACUCAAAGGAAUUGACGGGGGCCCGCACAAGCGGAGGAACAUGUGGUUUAAUUCGAUGAUACGCGAGGAACCUUACCCGGGCUUAAAUUGCAGAUGAAUUACGGUGAAAGCCGUAAGCCGCAAGGCAUCUGUGAAGGUGCUGCAUGGUUGUCGUCAGCUCGUGCCGUGAGGUGUCGGCUUAAGUGCCAUAACGAGCGCAACCCUCGUGUCCAGUUACUAGCAGGUUAUGCUGAGGACUCUGGACAGACUGCCAUCGUAAGAUGUGAGGAAGGUGGGGAUGACGUCAAAUCAGCACGGCCCUUACGUCCGGGGCUACACACGUGUUACAAUGGGGGGUACAGCAGGCAGCUACCGGGCGACCGGAUGCCAAUCCCGAAAGCCUCUCUCAGUUCGGACUGGAGUCUGCAACCCGACUCCACGAAGCUGGAUUCGCUAGUAAUCGCGCAUCAGCCACGGCGCGGUGAAUACGUUCCC
rnacentral:rRNA from 1 species